rnacentral:rRNA from 1 species
ACAUGCAAGUAGAACGCUGAAGAGAGGAGCUUGCUCUUCUUGGAUGAGUUGCGAACGGGUGAGUAACGCGUAGGUAACCUGCCUUGUAGCGGGGGAUAACUAUUGGAAACGAUAGCUAAUACCGCAUAACAAUGGAUGACACAUGUCAUUUAUUUGAAAGGGGCAAUUGCUCCACUACAAGAUGGACCUGCGUUGUAUUAGCUAGUAGGUGAGGUAAUGGCUCACCUAGGCGACGAUACAUAGCCGACCUGAGAGGGUGAUCGGCCACACUGGGACUGAGACACGGCCCAGACUCCUACGGGAGGCAGCAGUAGGGAAUCUUCGGCAAUGGGGGCAACCCUGACCGAGCAACGCCGCGUGAGUGAAGAAGGUUUUCGGAUCGUAAAGCUCUGUUGUAAGUCAAGAACGGGUGUGAGAGUGGAAAGUUCACACUGUGACGGUAGCUUACCAGAAAGGGACGGCUAACUACGUGCCAGCAGCCGCGGUAAUACGUAGGUCCCGAGCGUUGUCCGGAUUUAUUGGGCGUAAAGCGAGCGCAGGCGGUUUGAUAAGUCUGAAGUUAAAGGCUGUGGCUCAACCAUAGUUCGCUUUGGAAACUGUCAAACUUGAGUGCAGAAGGGGAGAGUGGAAUUCCAUGUGUAGCGGUGAAAUGCGUAGAUAUAUGGAAGAACACCAGUGGCGAAAGCGGCUCUCUGGUCUGUAACUGACGCUGAGGUUCGAAAGCGUGGGUAGCAAACAGGAUUAGAUACCCUGGUAGUCCACGCCGUAAACGAUGAGUGCUAAGUGUUGGAGGGUUUCCGCCCUUCAGUGCUGCAGCUAACGCAUUAAGCACUCCGCCUGGGGAGUACG